UACGGAGGGUGCAAGCGUUAAUCGGAAUUACUGGGCGUAAAGCGCACGCAGGUGGCUGAGUAAGUCGAUUGUGAAAGCCCUGGGCUUAACCUGGGAAUUGCAGUCGAUACUGCUCGGCUAGAGUAUGGGAGAGGGUAGUGGAAUUCCCGGUGUAGCGGUGAAAUGCGUAGAUAUCGGGAGGAACAUCAGUGGCGAAGGCGGCUACCUGACCCAAUACUGGACACUCAGGUGCGACAGCGUGGGGAGCAACAGG
rnacentral:rRNA from 1 species